rnacentral:tRNA from 5 species
GGCGAUGUAGCUCAGACGGUUAGAGCGAGGGCUUCAUAAUCCCUAGGUCAGUGGUUCAAUUCCACUCAUCGCCA